rnacentral:tRNA from 2 species
GAGCCAGUAGCUCAGUUGGUUAGAGUGCACGCCUGAUAAGCGUGUGGUCAGUAGUUCAAGUCUACUCUGGCUCA